rnacentral:misc_RNA from 1 species
GAUGAAGAACGUAGCGAAAUGCGAUAAGUAGUGUGAAUUGCAGAAUUCAGUGAAUCAUCGAAUCUUUGAACGCACAUUGCGCCCCUUGGUAUUCCAUGGGGCAUGCCUGUUCGAGCGUCAUUUGUACCUUCAAGCUUUGCUUGGUGUUGGGUGUUUGUCUCGCCUUUGCGUGUAGACUCGCCUUAAAAUAAUUGGCAGCUGGCGUAUUGAUUUCGGAGCGCAGUACAUCUCGCGCUUUGCACUCAUAACGACAGCGUCCAAAAGUACAUUUUACACUCUUGACCUCGGAUCAGGUAGGGAUACCCGCUGAACUUAAGCAUAUCAAUAAGCGGAGGA